AUGACAAUUCUAAGUCUAAUUUGGUUUUGACCCUUGCCUGGACUGGAUUUCGAUUUGGAUUACCCCAAUAACCUGCAUUUGGAUCUCUCUCUCCCUGUGUUUUCUGGAUCACAAUCGUGACAGAAGGACUCCGUCAAGACUAAGAUCCAGCGGUUUCUCAGGUCAUCAGAACCCCUCUAGGAAAUGCCCUACUGGUCGGUGUAGGGGAAUCUGGAAAACAGGGUCUGACAAGACUAGCAUCUUUUAUCGCUGGCUACAAGACUUUCCAGAUUACACUCACCCGG